AUAAAUCAUGUUUUUAUUUUGAAAACAUAGCCGUUCCUUGGCGUUGGCUGAGUUCACCCUCACGUGCUGAUUUGGCAUGAAGUGAACUCUAAAGUUGUACCUCGGGAGUUACCCUACUCGCCUCCCCAAUCGAGGUAAGAAUAUAAUAGGAUUCCAUGCCCCUCAAAAAGGCUAGUCCAUAGAACCCACCCACUGCAGCAAGCUAAACCCACCAUAUAAUAAAAUUUACAAUAGCAUGACAUGGCAAUUAAUUUAUUUUACAAUAUCUCAAGGCAAAUCAACAGUUUAUACAUUUUCAGCACAUUUACCAAUUCAACCAUUAAUGCCAAUAUUAUCAUAAGCCAUUCAGUUCAAACCAUGAUUUAUAACACAACAAUUAGUCUCUAAUUACUCCAUUUUCAAAACCAUCUUUCAAUUUCAAAACAAUUUUAUAAAACCAUUUCAUUUAAUCACAUUUUGCUUAUAAAACAUAAAAAUUUACUAUUUAAACUAAUUUUUUCAUCAAAUCACAAAAACGAUUAAAAACUACUUUAGAUAAUUAAGACGAUAAUAAGGUUACUCACUAUUUUGGGAGUCGAAUUUUGAGGUCUUCGAUUCUUGAUCCUCGGGUACUAUCUCUUUACUUUUGCUAGAAAGCUCACCACCUAUACAUAAUGCACAAUAAGCCAUUUACUACAUUUGUGCUAAAUCGUUGUAAAACCAAUUCAAGCUUUAUACUAAUGCAUGAAAUGGGAUGUGAAAUACUUGGGUAACUAUCUAAAUACGAUGUUCAAUAUAAAUUCAAUUAUGUACCUAAAUAAAAUGGUAUUGGCCUAAUUCGAUCUAUCACUCGAUUAAUUGGCCAAUAUGUCCAAUUUAACUCCAAUUAACUCCAUUUUUCUUCCAAUUCUCCAAACCAUCAAACACAAGUUAAAUAACUUGAAAUAUGGCAAAAUCAUCUUCACAUUUUCUCUUGGGAAUUUUGGCCAUGGUGGGUGCAUCAAUACUAUGAUUUUUCCUACUUGAUUUUCUCACCGUAAUUCAUCAUUUCCUAACCAAUUCACUUGAAAUAAAAUCAAAUCCACCAUCCACACUCUACAUGGAAGAUUCGGCCAAUCAUGGGUUAUGGAAGAACAUGAAUUUUUCUUGCUUGAUUUUCAUGCUACACAUCACCAAUCAUCUAAAAACACUAGAAUAUCUUAAAAUCUAACCAAAACAACCAUCAAAAUUUCUCUCUAAGUGUUCGGCCAGCAAGAGAUUCAUCAUGAAAUCAUGUGAUUCAACCAUGGAAAAUGCAAAAGAAUGUAUGGGAAAGGUAGAUCACAAGUCAAAAUCAAGAAAUUUUACCUUUGAUUGCUUGAUUACUUGAAAUCCACCAAUUUUCUCUUGAAUUUUCACUCUAGGUUUUUUGUGCUUUCUUUUCUUCCUUUGUUCUUGCUUUGGCCGGCC
rnacentral:lncRNA from 1 species